GAAGGGAUAUUGACCAGCUAGAAGCCUGGAGAGGCUCUUAGGGAUAGAGAGACAGAGACAGAGACACACAGAGUUCAGAAAAUAAAUCCAGCAGCCACAAGAAGUGCAGAUCCAACAUAAGAAACUCCCCGGGGAUUGAGGAUGAGCUUGCUUGUUGUUCCAGUUUCUGGGCGUGCUGUCAGCAGACAACCUUCAUCUGUCAGCCCCUCUGGGGUGUAUGAACUGUCUCACCACAUUCUUCUCAGGCCAGCCCACAUCCAGGGACUGCUCCAGCCAGAUGGGAAGUUUUCCGAAGCAUCAGCCUCUGCGCCUUCUUCAGAGAAGACAUUUGUAUUCUUUGUAUAGAGCCCAGUGCCUGGAGGCAGCCUCGUGACCCAUCUCCUUCCCCAGUGUUCUCAGCUGGUUCACUUCAGCCCAGCUCAGAGGCUGACCUGGAAUGAGCCUAUCCAGGGGGACCCUGGGUGUUCUUAGAGCCACAGACUGUGCCGGGUGAAGGGAACUUUUAAUCUGACUCUUCGUGUAAUGCAGGAGGAAGAUUUGCUUCAGGGAGGAGAGGAGAACUGCCCGUGGUCUUCCAACUAAUUAGCUGCAGAGUUAGGGCUGGAACUGAGGUCCUUUCCCUCCCACCCAGAGCUAUUUAUUCUAGGACAGUGGCUCUCAGACUGUGUUCUCACAGGAAGCUGGCGCUCAGAAAGCUGGAUUGAAACCCUCUCAUUCCAAAUCAAAUACUGGAGAACUUUCUCCAAUGUACAGAAAAAAAAAAAGAUUAAUAGAUUGUUUCCUCAACUUUAAAUGAUGUUUCCAUUAAUACUUCUUAAACCAUUGUCACUUGUUACCAAUUGUCUAAUAGCCACUGCACCCAGACAACAAAAGAAUAAGCCAUAAAUAAAUGUGAACGAUAAGAACGAAAGCCUUGGAAAUAAAUCAUUCUUAAGAU